GGUGAUGUGGCCCAGUGGUUGAGUGCCCCUGAGUUCAAUCCCUGGGUGUUAAAAAAACACCAAAAAAAAAAAAAAAGAGUGCUUGCCUAAUAUGCAUGAGGCCUUGGGUUCAAUUCCCAGCACUGCAA
rnacentral:tRNA from 1 species